UACGUAGGGGCCGAGCGUUGUCCGGAAUUACUGGGCGUAAAGCGUGCGCAGGCGGUUCGCUGUGUCCGAUGUGAAAGCCCCGGGCUUAACCUGGGAAUGGCAUUGGAAACUGGCGGGCUUGAGUGUGGCAGAGGGGGGUGGAAUUCCGCGUGUAGCAGUGAAAUGCGUAGAGAUGCGGAGGAACACCGAUGGCGAAGGCAGCCCCCUGGGCUAACACUGACGCUCAGGCACGAAAGCGUGGGGAGCAAACAGG
rnacentral:rRNA from 1 species